GUUGAAACACCGGUUCUCGUAUGAUCACCAAAGUUAAGCAACGUCGAGCCUGGUUAAUAUCUAGAUGCGUGACCGCUUGGGAAUACCAGGCGCAGUAA